rnacentral:rRNA from 1 species
CCUACGGGUGGCUGCAGUAGGGAAUAUUGGACAAUGGGCGAAAGCCUGAUCCAGCAAUGCCGCGUGAGUGAUGAAGGCCUUAGGGUUGUAAAGCUCUUUUACCAGGGAUGAUAAUGACAGUACCUGGAGAAUAAGCUCCGGCUAACUCCGUGCCAGCAGCCGCGGUAAUACGGAGGGAGCUAGCGUUGUUCGGAAUUACUGGGCGUAAAGCGCGCGUAGGCGGCGAUUUAAGUCAGAGGUGAAAGCCCGGGGCUCAACCCCGGAAUAGCCUUUGAGACUGGAUUGCUAGAAUCCUGGAGAGGUGAGUGGAAUUCCGAGUGUAGAGGUGAAAUUCGUAGAUAUUCGGAAGAACACCAGUGGCGAAGGCGGCUCACUGGACAGGUAUUGACGCUGAGGUGCGAAAGCGUGGGGAGCAAACAGGAUUAGAUACCCGAGUAGUCC